rnacentral:rRNA from 1 species
GAUGAACGCUGGCGGCGUGCCUAAUACAUGCGAGUCGAGCGAACGGACGAGAAGCUUGCUUUUCUGAUGUUAGCGGCGGACGGGUGAGUAACACGUGGAUAACCUACCUAUAAGACUGGGAUAACUUCGGGAAACCGGAGCUAAUACCGGAUAAUAUUUUGAACCGCAUGGUUCAAAAGUGAAAGACGGUCUUGCUGUCACUUAUAGAUGGAUCCGCGCUGCAUUAGCUAGUUGGUAAGGUAACGGCUUACCAAGGCAACGAUGCAUAGCCGACCUGAGAGGGUGAUCGGCCACACUGGAACUGAGACACGGUCCAGACUCCUACGGGAGGCAGCAGUAGGGAAUCUUCCGCAAUGGGCGAAAGCCUGACGGAGCAACGCCGCGUGAGUGAUGAAGGUCUUCGGAUCGUAAAACUCUGUUAUUAGGGAAGAACAUAUGUGUAAGUAACUGUGCACAUCUUGACGGUACCUAAUCAGAAAGCCACGGCUAACCACGUG